rnacentral:rRNA from 1 species
AACGCGAAGAACCUUACCUACUCUUGACAUCCAGAGAACUUUCCAGAGAUGGAUUGGUGCCUUCGGGAACUCUGAGACAGGUGCUGCAUGGCUGUCGUCAGCUCGUGUUGUGAAAUGUUGGGUUAAGUCCCGCAACGAGCGCAACCCUUAUCCUUUGUUGCCAGCGGUCCGGCCGGGAACUCAAAGGAGACUGCCAGUGAUAAACUGGAGGAAGGUGGGGAUGACGUCAAGUCAUCAUGGCCCUUACGAGUAGGGCUACACACGUGCUACAAUGGCGCAUACAAAGAGAAGCGACCUCGCGAGAGCAAGCGGACCUCAUAAAGUGCGUCGUAGUCCGGAUUGGAGUCUGCAACUCGACUCCAUGAAGUCGGAAUCGCUAGUAAUCGUAGAUCAGAAUGCUACGGUGAAUACGUUCCCGGGCCUUGUACACACCGCCCGUCACAC